rnacentral:rRNA from 1 species
GAUGAACGCUGGCGGCGUGCCUAACACAUGCAAGUCGGGCGAUUCUCUUCGGAGAAGAGCAGCGGACGGGUGAGUAACGCGUGGGUAACCUGCCCUAUACACAUGGAUAACAUACCGAAAGGUAUGCUAAUACGAAAUAACAUACUUUUAUCGCAUGUUAGAAGUAUCAAAGCUCCGGCGGUAUAGGAUGGACCCGCGUCUGAUUAGCUAGUUGGUAAGGUAACGGCUUACCAAGGCGACGAUAAGUAGCCAACCUGAGAGGGUGAUCGGCCACAUAGGAACUGAGACACGGUCCAAACUCCUACGGGAGGCAGCAGUGGGGAAUAUUGCACAAUGGGCGAAAGCCUGAUGCAGCAACGCCGCGUGAGCGAUGAAGGCCUUCGGGUCGUAAAGCUCUGCCCUCAGGGAAGAUAAUGACGGUACUUGAGGAGGAAGCCCCGGCUAACUACGUGCCAGCAGCCGCCGUAAUAC